rnacentral:lncRNA from 1 species
AAACUAGACCACUCGCACUAUUUUACGUUUCUGGAAAAAACCCAGAAACUUGUUAGACAGUUUUCUGACAGCCAUUAACCGAUCAAGUUCUUACUAGUAUUUUGUUGUUAUGGUUAUGUGUUGUAUUAGAUCUGUAAUAUUACAUGCUAUCUACAAUCUAGAUGUCUUAAAUCAUAUGAAAGUUACCAGUAUUGCAAGUUAUGGAGAUCUAAAGUAGGUACCUUGUACUGUUCUUCAUUUCUGGAAAACCCAAAAAUGAAGAACAGUGUCUGACAAUAGUUUUGAGAGAUUAAAUCUCUUUGUUGUUUAAUGAUUUGACCAUGUAAUCAGUUUGUAGUUAUAGUGAUGCAUGAGUGCUACAAUAUCUAAUCGAUCUCUAGCCCAGAAACACUUUAUAUUGGAUUUUAUAAGUGGUCAAACUAGAGACCCUACACACUGUCGAUGAAUUUCUGGGUUUGAUGAAGAACACUCAAGAACACCUAUAGCGACAGUUUCGUCGCUAUAGGGUCCUUUAGCGACAGUUUAUUUCCUAAAUUAUUUAUUUUUACGAAAUAAAUAGAAAAAUUAGUUUUUAAUUAUU